AGUCGAACGGCAGCACGGGGGCAACCCUGGUGGCGAGUGGCGAACGGGUGAGUAAUACAUCGGAACGUGUCCUGUAGUGGGGGAUAGCCCGGCGAAAGCCGGAUUAAUACCGCAUACGCUCUACGGAGGAAAGGGGGGGAUCUUCGGACCUCCCGCUAGAGGGGCGGCCGAUGGCAGAUUAGCUGGUUGGUGGGGUAAAGGCCUACCAAGGCGACGAUCUGUAGCUGGUCUGAGAGGACGACCAGCCACACUGGGACUGAGACACGGCCCAGACUCCUACGGGAGGCAGCAGUGGGGAAUUUUGGACAAUGGGGGCAACCCUGAUCCAGCAAUGCCGCGUGUGUGAAGAAGGCCUUCGGGUUGUAAAGCACUUUUGUCCGGAAAGAAAGCCGCUGGGUUAAUACCCCGGGGGGAUGACGGUACCGGAAGAAUAAGCACCGGCUAACUACGUGCCAGCAGCCGCGGUAAUACGUAGGGUGCAAGCGUUAAUCGGAAUUACUGGGCGUAAAGCGUGCGCAGGCGGUUCGCUAAGACCGAUGUGAAAUCCCCGGGCUUAACCUGGGAACUGCAUUGGUGACUGGCGGGCUAGAGUAUGGCAGAGGGGGGUAGAAUUCCACGUGUAGCAGUGAAAUGCGUAGAGAUGUGGAGGAAUACCGAUGGCGAAGGCAGCCCCCUGGGCCAAUACUGACGCUCAUGCACGAAAGCGUGGGGAGCAAACAGGAUAGAUACCCUGUAGUCCACGCCCUAAACGAUGUCACUGGUUGUCGGGUCUUCAUUGACUGUAACGUACUAACGCGUGAAGUUGACCGCUGGGGAGUACGGUCGCAAGAUUAAAACUCAAAGGAA
rnacentral:rRNA from 1 species